UCUCCGUAGGUGAACCUGCGGAGGGAUCAUUACUGAGCGAGGGCCUCCGGGCCCGACCUCCAACCCUAUGUUAUCCGACCCUGUUGCCUCGGGGGUGACCCGGCGCCGCGCGAGCGGCCGCCCGGGGCCCCCGGUGGACCCCUCAACGCUGCAUCUUUGCGUCCGAGUCUGAUUUGAAUCAAUCAAAACUUUCAACAACGGAUCUCUUGGUUCUGGCAUCGAUGAAGAACGCAGC
rnacentral:misc_RNA from 1 species